rnacentral:rRNA from 1 species
UACGUAGGGUGCAAGCGUUAUCCGGAAUUAUUGGGCGUAAAGAGCUCGUAGGCGGUUUGUCGCGUCUGCUGUGAAAACUGGAGGCUCAACCUCCAGCCUGCAGUGGGUACGGGCAGACUAGAGUGCGGUAGGGGAGAUUGGAAUUCCUGGUGUAGCGGUGGAAUGCGCAGAUAUCAGGAGGAACACCGAUGGCGAAGGCAGAUCUCUGGGCCGUAACUGACGCUGAGGAGCGAAAGCAUGGGGAGCGAACAGGG